CCAAAAUCAAAACCCUCUCUCGACAGCGCCUCACUCUCGCCUCGCCUCACUCUCGACAGACCCAAUUCUCUCGACUUGCCUCACACUCUGCACUCACUGGCAACCCCAACACUCCCUCUGCUUGGCAAAACCCGACCUCUCUCCCCCUCGACAAACCUUUUCUCGUCAAACCCUAUUUCUUCUUCUACAAAUCCCAACCAAAGCUCUCUCUCUCUCUCUCUUCUCGACAAACCCAGACCAAAACCUAAUGGGUUAUUCGAUCUGGGAAAUAGUGAAGCCCUUCAUCGAUGUUGACCUCAACAACUCCGAGCUCUAUUCUGACCGCGCUCAGGCCAACAUCAAAUCCAACUAUCUCUGGUAACAACCCCCCUCUCUCUUGCAAUUUCCGAGAUCGGCUGUGUGUUUUUUGCUUUGUACAAAGUGAAAGAGAAAGAGAUUUGGGUAAUUUCUGGGCAUUUAAAAAGCUAAAUGCCCAAAUCGGUGAGUCGCUGUCUCGAAGAUUAGGGUUCUCCUUCCGCCGCUUGCCAUCGCCAUCGCCUCUCUUCAGUCUGGGUUCAAAUUUCAAAAUGACGAAGUCGCCAUCGCCAUUGUCCUUUCUGGCUCUCCUCUGUCCUCUCUGGCUCUCUCCCUCUCCAGGCUCCAGCAUGGUCAAGCUGGUAAAUUGAAUUGCAUCAGUUGUGGACUUGUGGUAAAUUGAAUUACGCUAUGCAUGUACUGUGCCACUGCUGAAUUCUAUAUUGGUUUUGGUGAUUUUAUUUAUUUUCAUCAUUAUUUUGGCCUCUACAUGACAAUGAUUUUUGGAAUUAAGUUUCAGCUGCUUAGAGAAGCUAGCACUUCCGUUUUGGAGAUACUGAAACUUGAUGUUAUCUCAUUUUUGUACAUUCCAAUACAGGUAGUUGGAAAAAAAGUAUAUAAGGCUCUAUCAUGCUUCAUUGUCAGAGGAACUCUAUGCACAUACUGAAACCAUGCUUUGCAACUCAAGUCAGCUUUUAACAUCAAUUGAAAACUUCUGCAUCUAUUCAAUUGUUGUUGGAAUGGUUAUUGGGAUAUCAGUUGGAACUCAAAGAAGGGCUGCCCAUUCUUACUAGUCCCAAGGAUCACAGACAGUAGCUCGACUUGUAGACAUGGAGCUGCAAGGGUACUCGGCCAUUGUAUGAUGUACAAAAUAGCAAAAGUCGACAGAAACAGAGAAAUAAGACAAAUGUACAAAUGACCCUCUUAAAUUUGUGUAUGAAUAUUUGGGAAAUACUCCCUAUUUGAUAUCAAUUUACUGAAUUCAUUUUA